UAGGGAAUAUUGGACAAUGGGGGCAACCCUGAUCCAGCCAUGCCGCGUGAGUGAAGAAGGCCCUCGGGUUGUAAAGCUCUUUUGUCCGGAAAGAAAAGCUUCGGGUUAAUACCCCGGGGUUCUGACGGUACCGGAAGAAUAAGCACCGGCUAACUUCGUGCCAGUAGCCGCGGUAAUACGAAAGGUGCAAGCGUUACUCGGAAUUACUGGGCGUAAAGCGUGCGUAGGUGGUUGUUUAAGUCUGAUGUGAAAGCCCUGGGCUCAACCUGGGAAUGGCAUUGGAAACUGGGCAGCUAGAGUGCGGUAGAGGGUAGUGGAAUUCCCGGUGUAGCAGUGAAAUGCGUAGAGAUCGGGAGGAACAUCUGUGGCGAAGGCGACUGCCUGGACCAGCACUGACACUGAGGCACGAAAGCGUGGGGAGCAAACA
rnacentral:rRNA from 1 species